GAGGGCGCACUCCUCCAGUGUGGGUUAACUUAGGGCUCAGUGGCUUUACUGUUUUCUUCUCUUUACUCCUUUCUGUUUUUUUAAUCCUCUCUAGUCCUAGAAUCUGCCGUUUUUCUGGAUAUCUCCAAGGUCAUGAUGGCGUUUCCACUGCAGGAAGGGUCAGAAAGGGUACAGGCGGUUUCAGGCUGGCUGGAGCAAGGAGUCAUGUUGAGCUGGCAAUUCCUGGGUGAGAGUGAAACUUAAGGCCACUGCUGCAGCCAGAGUGUCCCCUCCCCGAGUGGCCCCCAGCCCCUGCGAGCCUGGACACACGCCCACAGCGUGUGGGGCAGCAUGGCGCUGUGGACUGUGCUCACCCAAAUGCACCACAUCCAGGGAAGCCGUUCACGUCUUUGAUGGCGCAGCUUUCGGUGUCAAGCAAGAGGAUUUUGAUCUUCAAAAAAGAGGUCUGGAUUGGGAUUUGGCAGGUCUGGGGUCUGGCUCUGACUGUCGUUAUUUUAGCUCAAUGACUCUGGAUAAGUCCUUUCUCGUCUCAGGGCCUUCCCUCCCGACAAAAAUGAGUCACUUCAAUAAGAUUCGUGUUUGUCAAAGUGUAACACCCUUAUCACUGAAGGUUCUUAAAUAAUGUAGGUGGUGCAGAGGUGAUGGUGUGCAUAUAUGUGUCCAUACGUGUGUAUAUACGUGCAUAUCGUAUAUGUGUAUAGUCCUGUAAUUGAAAUGCAUUGGAAAACAUAACACGAAGCCAGCAUAUCAGACUUAGGAUUUCACAGGACUUACUGCUUGCAACAAGGCUCAUUAGUUUGUGAGGUAGAUUGAAAUAAAAAUACAAAGCAAAUAACAUUUGAAGACCUCUGGAUGUGGUAGAAUGUGUGUCCACGGUGACAGCGUCUGGGAGCGCUGGGCGAGGAAUCUCUGUGCCUCCUUCAGGUCUGAGUCGGAGCUCCCCUGGUCCCACCGCGUCCACAGCGUGAGCGAGGGUGUGCGUCAGCCGUCCUCAGAGUCCCGGAGACGUACCCGCGGGCGCCGCUGCACAGACCCCACACCCCGAGAGGGGCACCUGUCUAAGGAGAGGGGCCGGCCGAGUCUCAGGCUGCCCCGUUCUCUCUCGCACAGCAGUUCCGGCUCUGAUCAGGGCGAGGCUCCUUUUGUGUUACCACUUGAGACACGUUCUUUCUUUGUCAUUGAUGUAACCGAUCCUCAACCAUCCCAGACGUCUGAAUUUGUGACUUCGAAAAGCAAAUCAGCUGCAUUUUGGUUGAAGAGAAGAGGAGGAAAAAAGCAAUUAGCAGAGCCCUUUGAAGAAAUAUGCAGCAGAAAUGAUGGCAGCUGAGGUAAAGAGCAAAGACUCAUUUUAUGAAGUGUAAUUCAAGCUGAGAAAUCCAUCGACGAAGCAAAGUAGACGGACUCUUCUCUCCCCACGUACAGGGGCCAUUUUCAGAUUUCACCUGAGAGGCUCCUGAGGUUUGGAACUGUCAACGUGUCACAAAGAAAACACCACCACGUAAUGGGAUCAGGAGGCUGGGGUGGGCGGGGGCCACUUUAGAGAGGACUGCUGCUCAGGGAGGCCCACCGAGGAGGGUAACUGAGCUCCAACGGGUGAGUAGGGCCAGGUUGGCAAAGUCUGGGGGAGAUGGUUCCAAGCAGGGGAAACAGCACCACGGCGGCUCAGAAGAGGGACACAUUUUGUGUGUUUAAGUGAUUUCUAUAUCGCUCCCCGUGCCCGCCUGCCCCACCUCAGACCUGCCGUCCCUUUAGAACCCGCGUCCCAGCCGGUGACUCGUCCCAGCGACCAGUGUGCUGUUGCCCGCCUUGGAGGGGAGAAGGUGAAGAUUACAUCCCUUUUCGCUCAUCAGUGGAAACAAAGAUCACUUCCUGGGGUAGAACCUCUAGAAGCAAAAAUGAGAUCUUUCCGAUGAUCUUUGUGAUGACAUGCUGACAACUAAGCUUCCCACUAAUAGGCGCCCAGAGAAUGGUUGCUUUGCAAUUUAAAAAUUCUUUGAAUGGGAAACCCAAGUGUUUCCCCAGACUACUGAGGUAUUUGUCAGAGGAAGAGGAAGAUUUUCUCUCCACUAAGGUGAGGACCAUCAUUUUUUCUUUGCAUGUUUCUGGCAACAUGAAUGCCGGGGACUUACUCGCUCCCACAUGGCUUCACGGAGCCUUGAGAAAGGAGCCCACUUACAGGUUUGGAGACGCAGGCGACGUGAUGGAGUUGGCUUUGACGUAACACUGAAAAUCAAAAAUAGCGUUACCACCAGGGGUUCCAUCCAUAUGUAGGUGUGCCCCGAGGUACUACUCAAGUGCUGGGGCGGCGCGUCAGAAUUGCUUUGAAUUAUCAUAAUUUAGCAAAUCAUCUAAUUUAUGUAUUAAGUAUUAUGUAAUGUAUUAAGGCCCAAUAGACAUAUCCCCUUGUUCUUUCUUUAAGAAAAUAAAGGUGGUGAAUAAUUUUCACCCAGGAAAAAAGUCACACUGUCCAUGGUCUACACGGCACUUAGGAAGAUGGCUCCUCCAGACCCUUCCGGAGAACACCUGCUUCCACUGGGUGGCUUCAACGUGGAGGCGAUCAACAGAACAUGAGUUAUGGUUUUCGUAGAAUUUGGCUUAUUGCUCCCUUCUUUUGGCCUCUUCUGAAAGAUGGCAAUUCCAAAGGCUUUGAGGAAAAAAGCAUAGUUUUCUAUCAGAUUUGCCCAUAAUGACACAUAACCAGCUUUUCUUUAUGCAGAGAUAUUUUCAAAGAAUGUCUUAACCAGACAAACUCUCCUGAGAUGAGUUGUGCUUCUUGGUGGGACGUGCAGGAGGGAGAGGGGUCUAUGGCAGGCUCAGCGUUAAGGGGAGGGGAUGGGUAUUCAGAACUCACCUGCAUUCUAUCAACCGCACACACCUCACCCUCCCAGAUUUCUCUGAUAUUGUUGCAUUUAUUAAUUCAUCAAGCACUCUCUCUGCUUCAGGUCCUCUACUCGAGUCUAGGCGCUUAAAAUCGAAUCACAGCCACCCCUUACCUUCCAGAUUUUCACAGCAAAGUUAAGAGACAGAUAUAUAAGCUGACUAUGUUCCUGUAUGCUAAGAGGAGGUAUUUACAAGUGCUAUGGUUGCAUAUUUGAAGAAAGAGCUAAUUCUCCCAAGAGGGAAAUAUUUCAUCUGAGAAGACGUUAAAGUAAGAGCAACAUUGGAAUGGGAUUUUGAAGGAUGGAUUGGAUUUUGCCAGGAAAACCAAUGAGCUGUGAGUAAUAAAACCAAUAGUUACUCUUAACUGAGCAGCAACUGUGUGCCACACAUGCUUUUGCAUGUUUUAAAUGCCUUAUCACAACAACAUGAGUCAUAGAGACUCAUUAUACACAUUUUACAGAUGAGAAAACUGAGGAAAUUGACUCUCCCAAGUACAGGUAGCUUUUGGAGCAGGCAGACUGUCCCUAAAUCCCGGCUCUGAGCCAUCACACCACAGGGCUGGGUGUUCCAGGAAGAAGUGUGGGGAAAGAGAGAGAAGGUUGAGGCGACAUGAUGGUUAAAGGAAGUGUGUGUGUCUCAUCUGCCCAGGACAGGAAUGUCUGUGACACUCCCCAGCUGUGUGACUUGGGGACAGAUAAUCGCGCACUUCUGAAGCUCAGCUUCUUCACAAAAUGGAACGGGCAAGCAGCCUCUCUCACGGGGGUCUGUGAGAAUCCCCUUUCUUUGUGCUCCUCUCUUUUCUUAAGCCUUCCGCUCCUCCUCCUUCCUAACGCGUUCUGUAGAGUGUCUACUACCUGGAUAAGCCAGGUGCCUGGAUAAGCAGUGGGAUGCCACUUCAACGGGGCCAGGUGAGGACGAGCCCCGAUGCGGCGGCCGAGGUGCCUCAGCCUCUGCUGCUCAGUCACAGACACCCCGGUUAGUCACAUGUGCAGAUUGGGACAGUGGUCCCCCAGGGAGCCCGGGGCACCCCAGGAUGCUGACAGCACGCAUCCCUGGGUCAGAGGGCGAUUUGUGUCUCCUACUGUAUUUCUCUUAGACUCUCUCCCUCUCUCUCUGUGUCUCUGUGUCUCAUCAUCUAUCUGUCCUGUUGGCUGUCAUUUCUCUCUGUGUCGUAGCUCUUCCUCUCUUUCGGACUUCCUAUCUCUCCUUUUUUAAUCCACCAGUCUCUCUCUCUCUGUCUCUCUCUGUUUCUUCUGUCUUUCUCUGUCUUCCUUUAUGCUGUGUGUUCUGCCUUUCUCCUUGACGUCUGUCUGUGCUUCUGCUUCUGGCUUGACUCUAUGUGGGCAAGUAGGUUCUCAGUCUUCCUCUCUCUCUGUCUUUCCCUCUAUGGCGGCUUCUACUCCUGUGUCCGUCCCCCUCUCCCGUUCCAUCUCCUGUCCAAACAUCCAGAAAGAGGACUUGUCCAGGGGAUUGAGAAUCAGCCAGAGACUCCGGCCACAUCUCCCCUGACUGGCCGGACCCGCCAAGACCAGUCUGCAGGAAGCGUGCAGGAGGGUCCCCGACCUCAGCGACGUCAUUGUUGUGGGCGUGAGUUCGUGCUUCUCUUCUGGAGUAUUUCUCUCAGAAAUAAUUGUCUUAAUCAGGUUUAGGUGUUAAUUAAAUGAUGAUAUUUGCAUGCUAGUUCUGUGCCAACUGGUUGUCAUACUAAAUUAUAAUUUGGCCUAAGCUGGAUAAGAAGGUUCUUUCAGUCAACAAAGACAGUUGUAUUAGCAGGUUACAGAUGUAAUUAGGCAGAGCUUGACUGAGCUGCUAAUAGAUUCAGGUACCGGGAAGGAAUUAGAGGUAGACACUUGCACACUUAUUAUUCAGUGUUGGUGCUGGAGUACGAGAAUAAGCAGGACCCCCCUGAGUUAUGGAGGCACAGGGCACAAGAAAGCAGAGGAAUCGGUCCAUGCGUAAGCUGGGGUGUUGUCGACAUUUUCUCCGUCUCUCUUUGUCCUUGUGUGUCUCUGUCUGUCUCUCAUUCCUGAUCAGUCUCUGUCUCUCAGCCUGUGUGUUUGCUGCCUUCUGCCUCUCUGCUGAUGGCGUGUUAGUUUCCUGUGGCUGCUGCAACAAAUUACCAUGAAAUGGGUGACUUAAAACAACAGAAAUGUAUCCUCUCAUAGUCCUGGAGGUCGAAAAUCCAAAAUCAGUUUGAGCGGGCCGACAUCAAGGUGCCAGCUGGGCGGUGCUCCCUCCAGAGGCACUAGGGGAGGAUCCUUCCUGCCUCUUCCAGCUCCUGGGGCUCCAGGCGCCCCUGGGCUUGUGGCCGCGUCCCUCCAGUCUCUGCCUCUGUCAUCACAUGGCCUUUGCCUCUCUAUCGGGGUCAAAUCUUCCUCCGCCUCACUCUGCUAAGGGUCCAUGUAAUUGUAUUGCGAAUUCACCUGGAUAGUGGAGGGCGGUCUCUCCGUCCCAAGAUCCUGAACUUACUCGUAUCUGUAAAUCCCUCGUUUGCCACUGAGGUGACGUUCGCAGGCUGCAGGGAUCGGGGUGUGGGCACCAGUGUCCAGGCUACCGCUGGCAUCCUCUGUCUCCUUCCCUUCUCUUUUCCUCCCACCACGCAAAGAAGGGCCUUUCUGGGGGAUCCACAGCUGCUCGCCUUAGCCCGGAACUGGGAAUUAACUGACUUUUCUAACAGGAGACUGACAGGAGCCUCCAUCUGGAGCGGCGUCCCCUCCUCAGAGCCGUGCGGACGACCAGGGCUGCUGUGCAGGAGAGAACACCAGGACUUCCCUUUAUCCCUCUGUCACUCAGAGGGACUGAGAGGGGGUGCGGGUGUGCUGUGGGUUCUACUCGAUUUUCACCAAACGACCUGCGGCCUUUGGGACCCUAGAAGUCGCCUCCUUUCCCAAAAUGAUCUCCAUCGAGCAGUUCAGGGCAUCAGUCAAGUGCUUGUUGCUUGAAGCUGGGCACUGCGCUCCCUACCCUCUUGCUUGUUAGAUGCCUGACCUUGGGCACUCCAGUAACCCUCUCUGUGCCUCAGUUCCCUGUCCUGUAAAAUGGGUGUGAUAAUGGCACCUCCUUUGGGAGGCUGCUCUCCAGUCAUCCUUCUGCAUCAGUGUGGGGCUGUGUGGAUGAGCAGGGUCCACAGGAACUGGCAGGAGCACAGUGCCCAGGAGGCAACAGUGCAAACCCAAGUUUCAACGUUUAAACCUGUGUACAUACCGUAUUUCUCUCUUUCUCUCCUUUUGCUUUGCUUCUACGACUCAUCUUUAUCUGUCUUGGUCUCUAAGGCUCCGUGAUCUCUGUAUUUCUCAGUCUGUGUCUUGCUGUCUCUAGCUGUUGUGUGGGAGGAGGGAGAAUCCCCCUCUGCCCUUUCCCUUAAAGUUCUUCUGGCUGGCCAAAUCAUUAACAAGACAGGUUAGCAGGAGAAAAUAAUACCAAGUUUAAUAACAUGUAUACAUGGGAGAAACCAGGGACACUGAGUUUCUCAACACAGUAACAGAGAUUCUCGUCUUAAAUAGCAUCUUCAGCUAAAGACAAAGGAGGAUGUUGGGGGUGGAUGGUGUUCUGGGAUUUCAGAGGGGAAGAAGACAAUUUACAUGAAGAGGGAAAUGUAAAUGUUUGUCAGACAAUGCUUUGCAGAGA